CAGCAGCCGCGGGAAUACGUAGGUGGCAAGCGUUGUCCGGAAUUAUUGGGCGUAAAGCGCGCGUAGGCGGUUUUUUAAGUCUGAUGUGAAAGCCCACGGCUCAACCGUGGAGGGUCAUUGGAAACUGGAAAACUUGAGUGCAGAAGAGGAAGGUGGAAUUCCAUGUGUAGCGGUGAAAUGCGCAGGGAUAUGGAGGAACACCAGUGGCGAAGGCGACUUUCUGGUCUGUAACUGACGCUGAUGUGCGAAAGCGUGGGGAUCAAACAGGAUUAGAUACCCCAGUAGUCCCUGUCUCUUAUAC
rnacentral:rRNA from 1 species